UUUUUGCACGUAAAAAUACUCACACUUUGACAAGCUGAAACAAUCUUUGAGAGGCCUGUGGCCAAAUGGUAUUCUAAUAGUUCACUAACUUGAGCAUUGUUAUAAGAUUUCUACUUCUUUUAUAAAAAAUAAAAAAUAAUUGCCAGUACAUUGGCACCAGUUGCUUCAUCUUUCAAUGUAGUCUUCAACCUUGCCUUUCAAGUUCAUAUCUUUCUUCUAUACUACUGCUGUUUUCAUUUAUUGGGCUUUUCCUUAGUCAUUAACAUACUGUAACGUAAGGCUGUUGCAAAUUCAGUCUGCUCACUGUCAGCAAUGUUGCUCAUUCUUGAGUUAAACUGAAAGCUUUUUCUGCUUCUGAGCUUCUACUUAAUUUCUCAUGUCUUCUUAGGAUGUUCUUAUAGUUCAGACUAUCCCAUGUAUUCAUUAACUCUGGCACAGCAUCAUUAGAAAUUUAAGUUAGACCUGAAACAGGCUACUGCAGGGCCUUGUGCAGUCAAUAAAAAAGCUGCCAAGGAUAUGAAUGGCUGUGAAAGAUAACGAGAUGGAAAAGGUAUCCAAAGAUUUAAAAGAAAAGGGAUCUUUAGGCAUAAAAAACCAAAGAAACAUCUUAAAAAAUACAUGUAUAGUAUGUUUUCAUCUUGAAUCCAGAACUGAAGACUCAUUUGCACCAAGUAGUGUUCUUUAAAAUCCAUCUCUCACAUUUUUUUUUCCUAGGAAGACAAUUAUUACUUGUUUAGCACCCUAUUUAACUUAUGUAAAAAUAGUAAAUAUAACCUACAGGAACCCUGCUCUUAGAAAACAGUCAGAUUUUUGGCAUGUUGCUAAUUCUCUAUGUCAAUCAAGAUGCAAUAAUUUCAUAAACAGGCCUAGGGCAUGCUUGCCAUGUCCUCUCUGACUGCUACCUUUUCUCUCUACCUGAUCAAAGUGAUCAUUACUGUUCAUUAACAUGGCAUUUGGAGGAAUCCUUAUUGAAAGGACCCUAAGAGGUAAACUUAUUUCUUUGUAGGAGUAGAGGCUGGAAUGCGUAGUUUUUUCCCUAGAUCUGAAACUGAUGGAAGGGAGGCAGAAAAUCUGUACUAAAAUGUUCAGCUUCUCAGUGUUCUCAUUGAACAAGGUACUUGGCAUAAACUGAUUUUUUUAGACUUGGUGCCUUUCUCUGUCCUUCAGUUUUUGGGGUUUUUUUUUAAUUGUCUUCAUCCUGUCAAAUAACCUGUAUGAAAAAUUUUGUAAUGAAACUGUAGAUAAGAGCUUUUGUAUUGAUCUUGCUUGUAGUGGCUCUGCAGUUGUUCUGCAGUCUCUUGGAGCAUUCCCAGUUGCCUGUGGGGCAAUCGGGAUGUAUCUAUUUACUGUUUAAGGGAGCCAUUAAAGUUUGGGUUUGGUUGGAGGAGGGAAGGUGCUGAGUAACAGAGGUAAGACAAAAUAGUAUCUCUGGAUUUAGAAGAUCUUAAGGACCUCCUUGCUUUAAUUUCAAGUGAGGAUAAGUACGGCAUGGAACUAAGAUCCAGAUCCAAACUGGAGAGAAGCUGAGUUACACAAUGGUUCCUGAUUCUUGUGUUCAUUAAAAUAGGUGUCUCUGUCUUUCCUUUACUUGCUGCAGCUGGGCUUUUAUACUUUGUUUGGCUGGAUUACAGGUAAUUAGUACCAAAUACAGAAGGGAUAGAUCUGGCUGAUACACUGCUUCUGGAGGUCUUAAAUUAGAGAAAAAAAUCAGCUGUCUACCAUUUUGGUGGUGAUCCAAGGCCUAAAUGAAAUGUAAUGUGAGAAGUGGCCUACUGUGUUAGGCAAAACAAACAGACCUUCUUAGAUAGGUCUGGUGAAAGCUUAAUACCUGAUAAAAGUUCCUCAGGAUUGUAUCAGGUGUAGAAAAGGGUGCCAGAUCUACCUGGGGAGUAAUAUCUGGGAGGUAGUCCAAAUAAUUAAAUCCUGGCAGUUUCUUGUGAGGGAUAUUUCCUGUGAUAUAACUCCAGUAUUUGAUGCAGGUCUCCUGGGAUGUGCAAUGGCUACCUGGCUGCUGGUGUUCACCACGUGAGAAGGCUCUGUCUGGGAGAUGACUCUCUGAUCCUUCUUAUGCUUCUCAGGGUCUGGCAGAGGUGUCCUGCUGAUGUUCUCCUCCAUGCUGGGCAAAGGCAUUUCUGGGUCCUGCUUUCUCAGGGGAACUGACACAGGCAUGCUGUGUGCCUGGUCCUGUGGGGCAGCUGACUGCUGGCUGGGCCUCUGGAUCCCAGUGGAGACCACAUGGGAGACUUGUACAGGAAUACAGCUCCUGUGCAUGGUGUAUGUGCCAUGGGAUGAGGUGCAGCGCAGUGCAGCCCCCAAGCUCUAAGAGGUUGUGGCUGUGCCCUGCUCACUGUGGUUGCCCCAACAGCUGGGGAUCGUGUUCUCCUCCAUUGGCAUCUCUGUGAUCCUCUCCUGCAGGACUGGUCCAGGAGAUUCCCAGAAAUGGGAGGAAGAAAACUUCUUGAGACAGAAUUUUAUUAGUGUGUCCAUGGUGAAACCACCCCCUUGUGAAUCCCCCUUUACGGGGAAGCAAGUAUCCAAUACUCGUAACUGCUCAUGAUCAAAAGGAACAGCAAAAGUGACAGGGUCUGCAAAACCUCACCAAGUUUCAUUAGUAACUUACACACUUGGCAUGGAAAUUGCUGUGUUUAUGUUAGUCCAUACCCUGUCCUAUACACAAGGCAGAGGGUUUGGGAGAAAGGGCAGGGUGAAAGGGAAAGCAGAGAAUAAAACAUUAAUUAAACAGAGGGAGGGAAAGAAAAAAAAGUGCAUGAGAGAUUACUAGUCCCAGUUCUAGAUUACACACUUGGCAUGGAAAUUGCUAUGUGAGUCCUAGCCUACCCUAUAUACGCAUGGCAGAGGGUUUGGUAGAAAGGGGAAUGGUGAAAGACAAGGGAGAAAAGGAGAGGUGGAUUAAAGAGAAGGAGAGAGAGAGAAAGAAAAAGGGAGAGAAAAAGAGACCAGCAAUCCUGGUUCCAUCAUCAACCCAGAUGAUGGGAUGUCGUUCCUGGUUCUGUCAUUGAUGCAGAUGAUAAAAUAGAUGUCCAUGGUCCUGUAAGCACUGCCCAGGAUUUAGGGGCUUCAUUUUUUUGCUCGGAAACCAGGUUUCUUGCUUUGUAUGCCAAUUACUUGUCAUGCACAGUCCAUUUUUUCAGACCUUUCUGGAAAUAGGUCAGAGGCUUUGUGGUGGUUCUUGCAUGAUCUUGACUCUGCUCUACAGCCUAUGCUCACUUCUUGGCUUUAUUCUUACUGUUUUGCUGUACUGUGUUGUGUUUACCUCCAGGCACUAGAACAAGGAUAUUGUCCUAGAGGAGUGGUGUCCUACCUCUGCAUGGCCCCCUUCUCCGGCCACAAGUUGUUCUUUCUGAUGUGCAGUUAUUACCAAUAGUGCUGGGUUCCUCCCAACAGCUCUCGCAUGUUUUCACCAGGUCCUUGGCUGACUCCACAGCCAUGCAGUUGGCAGUGUUUGAGACACAAACACAGUGCGGGCCUCUUCUCUUCUGGCAUUCUCCACCUGUGUUGCUCCCAUGGGAGGCUGAGCAGGCUCAGGGCCAGCCAGCAUCUCUGGAGCCUGAGCCGGUGCUGGCAGUGGGCCACUAAUGCUCAGGGCAUCCCCCCAUGCAGGCAGAGUGGCACUCAGAGCCCGGAGUGCCCACCUGAAGUGGGAGGGAUGCUGGCUGUGGGCAGCCUGAGCCCUGCUGAGGCCAUGGGUUCCCCUCUGGCAGCCCUGCACUGGCCCCUUACCAAAGGCCUGUGCCUCGCAAGGGGUGAGCCCCUCGUAUGCAGGAGUAGUGAAGCUUUGGCCUCUGUCCCUUUGCACCUAGGCUUGGUGUGGCUUGCCUUCUCUUUUGGGCAGUUCUUUGGAACCUCCUGCUUAGGACAGGUCAUGGACUUUAAUUUUCCCUUUGCUACAGCUCUUGCUUGAGAUUCCCACUUACAGCCGUAGAAAAUGUAAUUGAGAAAACUCCAGAAUGGGGCCUGGAAUUGAACUUUAUUGGCAGGAAAGGCAUAAAUAUGAUCCUUCCAGUGCACUUCUAAGCAGAAGGAUUUGGGAGAAUAAGCUUUAGCAAGCAUUUAAAGAGGCAAAGCAUUUAUGAAUAUUCUGAAGUGAACUUCCUGAAAAGAAACCAUUUUGUUGAGGUGAUUCUUCCCUGGUUAAACUGACUGCAAUGCAAUUUCAUUGUCUGAAAUACUUUCUUGCUUUUUGCACAGAUUUGUGUGGCUCCUCUGUGUUAGUUAUACCUGUGUUCAUUGUUUGAACAAGCUGAAAACUCCAGGUGUCUCAGAGCCAAAAAAAAAUUCUGAAGAAACUUACCAACUGGACUGUAUGAGAUGCUGUUUUCUGCAGCCUUCCUCCCUUUUUGAGUGGAUCUGUUUCCCGCGCUGCGGAGAACCGUCUGCCUCGUUUGCCUUCUUCGUGCCUGCGCCUCGUUCCUGCGGCUGUCUGCCUUGCCUCCCAAGGUGCUGCAUUCCCCGCCACGCCGCGAGGGAGAGCACCUUAGGCUGCUGUACGCCUCGCCUGCCUCCGGUCCGGAGUCAGAGCUAUGUGGCCACAUAGCAGUCACACACAGGCUGUUGGCAUGCUACCUGUGGAGCAAGCUGGGCUCAAACUCCUGCACAGCAACAUCUACUAUAAAGAUACCUCUGUUUAUUACACAUAUUUUUAAUUUCAUGAUCUCAUUUUAGAGUCAAGUAAAAAGUUGUAUCCAACAGGAUAGGGGGAAGCUUGUCCAUGAGCUUACCUGGGUUUAUCAGGUCCAGAGGAUGAGUCCUUAGUAUUGCUGGUGAGAGGAGCAUUUAGCAGGAGUCUGUGGCACAUUUUUUCGUUUAACCAGAAAUAUUUAAUAAGAAAGUGAAGUAGCACAUUCUAGCACAUCACUCUUGCAAUAAAACAUUUUUCAAUCCACAGGCUGCUGGCAUUUAGUCCUUUGAAAAGCUAAUAACCUUUGAAAUUUCAUCAUUCAUAAGGAAACUGUUACAUUUUCUGAAAAAAUAGGUAUUCAGCUAUGCUUUCCAUAUUAAAUAUUAGGAUUUGGUUGAGAAAACAGGAUUCAUACUUGUAUUUGAAAACUGUGAUUCCUCUGUAAAGGUCUCAAUUCUGUAAUAACAUUUGAGUUUUAUAGAUUUUUAAUGCUGCCACUUAGGAACUUUGUAAACUCCACAUCUGGAAAAAAUGCACAUAAUUUGUAAUCAUGGUAAUCUUUUAGGUUAAUUUUGUUUACCCCUGACAGAAAGCCAAAUUUAAAUAUAGUUAAUUAUGCUGCGCUUCUUUUAUUGUGAACAUUAGGAAA